rnacentral:rRNA from 1 species
ACAUGACAACUUACCCUAUAGAGAAACAUAACCUCGGGAAACUGAGGAUAAUAUUUCAUAGUUGAAUAGGCUUGGAAAAGUUUUUCAAUAAAAGAGAUAAAAAAAAUGGUUUUUAUCUGCUAUAGGAUAGGAUCGUGUUCGAUUAUGGUUGUUGGUGAGGUAAUGGCUCACCAAGCCGAUAAUCGAUAGGGGCCGUGAGAGCGGGAGCCCCGAGAUGGGUACUGAGACAACGACCCAGGCCUUAAGAGGCGCAGCAGGCGCGAAACCUCCGCAAUACACGAAAGUGUGACGGGGUUACCCAAAGUGUUCAAUAGAACUGUGGUAGGUGAGUAAUGUUCCCUACUAGAAAGGAGAGGGCAAGGCUGGUGCCAGCCGCCGCGGUAAAACCAGCUCUUCAAGUGGUCGGGAUAAUAUUGGGCUUAAAGUGUCCGUAGCCGGUUUAGUAAGUUCCUGGUAAAAUCGGGUAGCUUAACUAUCUAUAUGCUAGGAAUACUACUAUACUAGAGGGCGGGAGAGGUCUGAGGUACUACAGGGGUAGGGGUGAAAUCUUAUAAUCCUUGUUGGACCACCAGUGGCGAAGGCGUCAGACUGGAACGCGCCUGACGGUGAGGGACGAAAGCCAGGGGAGCGAACCGGAUUAGAUACCCGGGUAGUCCUGGCCGUAAACGAUGCGUACUAGGUGAUGGCACGGCCAUGGGCCGUGUCAGUGCCGUAGGGAAACCGUUAAGUGUGCCGCCUGGGAAGUACGGUCGCAAGGCUAAAACUUAAAGGAAUUGGCGGGGGAGCACAGCAACGGGUGGAGCGUGCGGUUUA